CCUACGGGAGGCAGCAGUGGGGAAUUUUGGACAAUGGGGGCAACCCUGAUCCAGCAAUGCCGCGUGAGUGAAGAAGGCCUUCGGGUUGUAAAGCUCUUUUGUCAGGGAAGAAACAGCAGCUCUAACACAGUUUGCGAAUGACGGUACCUGAAGAAUAAGCACCGGCUAACUACGUGCCAGCAGCCGCGGUAAUACGUAGGGUGCAAGCGUUAAUCGGAAUUACUGGGCGUAAAGCGUGCGCAGGCGGUUAUGUAAGACAGGCGUGAAAUCCCCGGGCUUAACCUGGGAAUUGCGCUUGUGACUGCAUAGCUAGAGUAUGUCAGAGGGGGGUAGAAUUCCACGUGUAGCAGUGAAAUGCGUAGAGAUGUGGAGGAAUACCAAUGGCGAAGGCAGCCCCCUGGGAUAAUACUGACGCUCAUGCACGAAAGCGUGGGGAGCAAACAGGAUUAGAUACCCUGGUAGUCCACGCCCUAAACGAUGCUGACUAGUUGUUCGGGAAUUUAUUCCUGAGUAACGUAGCUAACGCGUGAAGUCAGCCGCCUGGGGAGUACGGUCGCAAGAUUAAAACUCAAAGGAAUUGACGG
rnacentral:rRNA from 1 species